GGACGGGCCUCUGGAGAGACUCUUAAAGAGCACCGAAGGAGCAAAUUUAUUAAUUUACUUUUAUAAUAUUUUCAGUGAUAUAAGUGAUAUAUUUAUUAUGAAAAUGUAGUAUUAAACUUUUUAAAGGUAAAUUAUUAAAUGAAACUCUCAGGUAAAAGGACAGAGGAUGAGUU
rfam:Clostridium sp. IEH 97212 scaffold_17, whole genome shotgun sequence.